GGAAAAACUUUUCAAAGAUUAUGGGGAAAUUGUUGAUGUUCGUCUCCAUACAGACUGCAAAGGGAAGUUUAAUGGCCAUGGACAUGUUCAGUUUUCAACAGCAGAAGCAGCACAAAAGGCUCUUGCGAUGAAUAAGAAAGUAUUUUGUAACCGUCCCAUGGUUGUCGAUUUAGCUUUGGAAAGGCAAAAAUAUUCCCCCAAUGAAAGCUGGAGCAUCCAAUUUCAGAAAUGCGGAAGUUCUCAACCUCUAACUGUACUUGUAAUUGGAUUUAAUACAUCCCUUACCGAAGAGAAGGUAGUA